AGGAGCACAGUGACCCCGCCUCCACAGGGUCCGCUCCGCCACACUGACCCUUCCGUGUCGCUCGCGGGACCCCACCCCUGUCCGCCUGCUCCGGUGCCCAUGGGGAAGCCUGGUGCCAGGGGUCACCAGUCAGUCCAAUUCACCGCCCGACUGGUGGGACAAGGACAGGUCAGCGGGUCACAGGCCGGAAGUGAGACUCGCCCGGCCGCUCUGGGACGCGGGAAGACCGAGGCCUCGGUGGUUCCCCUCUCUCCCGCCUGGCUCCCUCAGGAGAAGGAGCGGCUAAGAAUGUAAAUCAUCCCGCACAGAAAAGGAUGCGAUUCACGGAGAAAGAGUUCUGUCUCCUCUCUGGGCACAGCUCUCUCUUUCCUGGAAGACAGCGGCCCUGGACAGGCUGGGGGCCCCCGACAGGUUCUAGCCCGGAGGAAGGCGCUGUGACUGGGGGCUCCAGUGGAGACAGAGGACCUUGAUGGAUUUUAUUCUUGUGAGAAGCCCGCUUUCCUACCCAAACCUCAUGCCAGUUGGUGACGCGAAGUCAACUUGGGCACUGAUCCAGCCCACCCAGCCCCGCAUGGUCCGCAGACUGUCCCACCCUCCCGUCCCGUAGCCCACCAGCACCCCGCCCCGCCCUGCCGCCGAGCGCCCACACAGCCUCCCCUCCGUGCCCCCAGCCCACCAGCCCCCUAAGCCUCCCACAGCACCUUGCCCCACAGCGCCUCACGAGGCCUCGACCUCGGGUCCCUCAGCCCCACCGCCCCUGACAGCGCCAGGCCCCACCCCACAAUACCCCACAGCCUCCCACCCCCGCCUCAAGGCCCCAACCUAUGACCCUCCACAUUGCCCCACCCACAGCACCCCCACACCGGCCCGCCCCAAGGUGCCCCACAGCACCCCACCCCACAGCUCCCCAGAGUGCCCCUUCCCAUAGCCCCCCACACCACCCCGCCCCACAGCGCCCGCCCCAAGGCCCCGCCCCACUGCCCUGCCCCACCCAUCCCCUACACCGCCCUCCCCUACAACACACCACCCCGCAUCCUCCAUAGCGCCCCCACCUUCAGUUCCCACACCACCCUGCCUCACAGCGCCCCUCACUGCCCCAUCUCCCAGGGCUUACAGUCCCCACCCCCUGCAUCGCCCAGCGCCUGAGAGGCUGGGCUCCGGGUACCUCCCAAGAGACAAGAGGUGUGUCCCACGCCCUGUGCAGUGAGAAGCCCUGGAACUCCAGGACCCUGCUUUUUUAGGCAGAAUGCUAUGGAUGGGCCACUCCAAAGAGAAACGCGGCUGGGGCCUUCUCACUGGGGUUGCAGGCCGUGGGAUGGUGUGAACACUCCAUGUUUAUUCACAUCUUGGACCCCCCAACCCCCCCAAGGGAGGGGUGGCCUUGUCUUUGCAAGAAGGCUUCUGAGUCCUUAGAGGUGAAGCUGUGUCCUCAUUCCACUCCCCACUGAUACCCAAGCCAACAAGGAGAUGCCCUGACCCACUCAUGGCCAAGGACACUCAUGGAAAAGGCCUUCGUCCUCUCAGUACAGACUGUGCCAGGCAGGCCAGGAAAAGCCAAGAAAAUAUGGAUGGAACAGAUAGGUUCCUAGCAAAAUACUAAAGCUGAGCCAAAGUAGAAAACUUGAAUUAACUAAUUGCCAAAAAAAAAACAGAUUAGAGAGGUGAUUAAAAAGCUACCAUUAAGAAAGCUCUAGAUGGCUCCAGAUCACAGCUGAGCUCUCACCAACCUUUAGAGAUCAGAUAAUUUGAAAGUUAAUUACAAUCUUCCAAGCCACAGAAAAAGAUUAAAAACCUCAAUUCACUUUACGAAGCCUUCUGUCUGUAAGCUUGUCUAAGUCUAUGUUGCUAUAAAGGGAAUACCUGAGACUGGGUAAUAUAAAGAAAGGAGGUUUAUUUGGCUCACAGUUCUGCAGGCUGUGCAGGAAGCAUGGCACCAGUAUCUACUGGUGAGGCCUCAGGCUGCUUUCACUUAUGGUGGAAGAUGAAGGGGAGCUGGUGUGCAGAGAUCACACAGCAAGAGAAAAGGCAAGAAAGAGAGUGGGUAGAGGCCAGGCUUGUUUAAACAACCAGCUUUUGGGGGAAUUCAUAGAACUAGAACUCCCUUAUUACCAUGAAGAGGGCACCACGCAUUCAUGAGGGAUCCACCCCCAUAAUCCAAACACCUCCUACCAAGUACCACCUCCAACAUUGGGGAUCAAAUCUCAGCAUGAGGUUUAGGAGGACAAACACCCAAACCAUAGCGAAGCUUAACACGCCAAAAUGAUAGAGCUCAAAGAAUCUAUAGACCCAGAUCUCUAUGUUUAAUAUUGAAAAACAAAUUAUAAAUAAGACAGUAGCAAAUAGAAUCAAGCAGCAUAUCAAAAAAAUAAUAUGCCAUGGCCAAGUAUGGUUUAUUUCAGGAAUACAAGGAUACCUACAUACCAUUGCAAUUCAUUAGCUCAACAAAUUAAAAGAGAAAAAACAGGCCGGGUGCAGUGGCCCACACCUGUAAUCCCAGCACAUUGGGAGGCCGAGGCAGGCAGAUCACCUGAGGUCAGGAGUUCGAGACCAGCCUGGCCAACAUGGUGAAACCCUGUCUCUACUAAAAAUACAAAAAAAUUAGCUGGGCAUGGGAGGCUGAGGCAGGAGGAUUGCCUGAACUCGGGAGGUGGAGGUUUCAGUGAGCUGAGAUCACGCCAUUGCACUCCAGCCUGGGCAACAAGAGUGAAACUCCUUCUCAAAAAAAAAGAAAAAGAAAAAGAAAAAACAGCAUUCCAUCCACAUAUGCUAAAUAAUAACAUUGAAUACAAUUCUAGAGCCAUUCUGAGUAAAAUUUCAAAGAAAAUAGGAAUAAAUGAAAAUGAUUUAAAUAUGGUAAAAAUUAUUAACCAUAAACUCCAAGAACAAGCAUCAUUUAUAGAACGAUAUGCUAAAGCUAUUACUUUUUUUUUUUUUUUUUUGAGAGGGAUCUUGCUCUGUCACCCAAGCCACGAUGUCAGCUUACUGCAACCUCCUCCAGGUCCUGGGUUUAAGCGAUCCUCCUGCCUCAGCCUCCCGAGUAGCUGGAACUACAGGCGCAUGCCAUCAUGCCUGGCUAAUUUUCUUGUAUUUUUAGUAGAGAUGGGGUUUCACUAUGUUGGUCAGGCAGGUCUCAAACUCCUGACUUCAAGUGAUCCGCCUGCCUCGGCCUCCCAAAGUGCUGGGAUUACAGGCAUGAGCCACCGCGCCCGACCAGGAUCAUUAAUAUAUUUAGAAGAAAUUAAAGUUGUCCUCUGUCUCAUAACAUAUAUGAAAAUAUUUCUAGAGGUAUUUAAAGCCUUAAUUAAAAACAGAGCAAUAAAUAAGCCAGUCACGACAAAUUCUGUAUAAUUCUGCUUAUGUGCAGUACCUAGAGCAUUCAAAUCCAUACAGACAGAAAGAAUGUUGGUUACUAGGGACUGAGGGGAGGGGAGAAUGGGGAGUUAGUGUUUAAUGGGGACAGUUUUAGUUUUACACAGUUAAAGAGUUCUGGAGAUGGAUGAUGGUGAUAAGUGCACAACAUUGUGAAUGUAUUGAAUAUCACUGAACUGUACACUUAAAAUAGGUUAAGAUGGUAAAUUUUAUGUUAUAUGAAUUUUACCACAAUAAAAUUUUUUUAAAACUCAGAGCAAUAAAAAUCUUAGUGAAAAUUUAGGACAUCAUAUGUGCAAGAUAGAUCAGCGGAAUCCUUUGUAACCGUGACGGGCAACUCAGAAGCUAUAAAAAACAGAUUAGGCAUAUUUAUUUAAUAAAAUGAAAAAGACUUGUAUGACAAAAGAUCCCUUAAAUGAAAUUGAUAGACAAAUUUUAACUGGGGCACGGCCAGGUGCGGUGGCUCACCCUGUAAUCCCAGCACUUUGGGAGGCCAAGGCGGGUGGAUCACUUGAGGUCAGGAGUUCAAGACCAGCCUGGGCAACGUGGCGAAACCCCGUCUCUACUAAACAUACAAAAAUUAACCAAGUGUGGUCGUACGUACUUGUCAUCCUAACGACUCAGGAGGCUAAGGCAUGAGAAUCGCUUGAACCCAGGAGGCGGAGGUUGCAGUCAGCUGAGAUUGUGCCACUGCACUCCAGCCUGGGUGACAGAGCAAGACUGUCUUAAAAAAAAAAUUUAACUGGGGCAAGAAAAGUAUGAAGACAUGCGGCAGAGCAAAGUGGAGGCAGCGUGUGGCCCAGUGCUUAGUACUGUAAUCCCCAAGCUUGUUUUCACUAACCCUGUUUUUAGACUCUCCCUCUUUCCUUUAAUCACCUAGCCUUGGUUCCACCUGAAUUGACUCUCCCUUAGCUAAGAGCCAGACAGACUCCAUCUCGGCUCUUUCACUGGCAGCCCCUUCCUCAAGGAUUUAACUUGUGCAAGCUGACUCCCAGCACAUCCAAGAAUGCAAUUAAUUGAUAAGAUACUGUGGCGAGCAAUAUCCGCAGUUCCCAAGAAUUUGUCCCAUUGAUAACGCCCAACGACCCGCGUCUAUCACCUUGUAAUCGUCUUUAAGCCCCUGCACCUAGAACUGUUUACUUUCCUGUAACCAUUUAUCCUUUUAACUUUUUUGCCUACUUUAUUUCUGUAAAAUUGUUUUAACUAGACCCCCCUCCCCUUUCUAAACCAAAGUAUAAAGGAAAAUCUAGCCCCUUCUUCAAGGCCGAGAGAACUUUGAGCGCUAGCCGUCUCUUGGCCGCUGGCUAAAUAAACAGACUCUUAAUUCGUCUCAAAGUGUGGCGUUUUCUCUAACUCGCUCAAGUACAACAGUACAUGCAGUGUCUGGCUCUCCUGUCACAUUUUCAGAAGUCACCUAGAAGAGACAGUCCCUGGGCCUCGG
rnacentral:lncRNA from 1 species